rnacentral:lncRNA from 1 species
GCGGGAAUCCAAUAAAUAACUUGAAUGUAAAUAAAAGUAAUUAGAGAACUCAGGAAUUAUGAAUUGAAGAACCUGGAGAACGAUGAAGAACGAACCAGAUGCUGCAAAAGUAUAAUGUUGAGGAAGAUCCGACAGAUCCGGCUCCUCCUCCGCUCUCCUCUUCUCUCUCCCUGUUUUCUAGAUUACAACUAGAACUAACUAGAACUAGAACUAGAGGAACUAGAACUAGAACUAGAUGAACUAGAACUAGAUCUAGAUGAACUAGAGGUAGAACUAGAAGAACUAGAGGGAUCCUCUCUACUUGGAUGAAGAAUUGAAACCCUAGCUUUGAUUCUGUAGAAGAGGUAUGAUCUCCAGGGGCCAGGGGGUCUGGUUUUAUAGUCCCUUCAAGUGAAUCUAAGCCGUCGGAUCAAACCGACAUUGAUCGCACGGUUUUCCUUGAUCCUUUAGGUCGGUGGAGCGUUGUCCGCGAAAUGUGACCGAAUUGGUCUCUAGAAGUGGGCGGGCGCCCAAGAGACUAGGGCGGGCGCCCUGUGCCUGAGCCCUCUCGGCCUCCGCUUCGGUCCCGUGGCUUCUGGAGUCUUCUAGAUGAUAGAAAAUUGCGCGGCACGUUAAUAUCUCUAUGUAAACCCGACGUGUGGGCCUUUCUUCCAUAUUUCCUGAUAACCCCCUGCAGAAAUAGACAAACACCAAAACUCGUGGAAUUCUGUCAGAUAAAACCCUAAGUCUAGGUGUUGGUUGCAUUUAGAUCCUUUUCUAUGAUUAGUUGAUGGUUAAAUGUGAGCAUUAAGGACCGUCAACAAGCUCCCCCAAGCUUAACAUUUGCUCGUCCCUGAGCAAAGAUGAACUCAAGAGUUUCUGCAGUAGUUUCAUAACUUAAAGAUACACAUGCGUUUAAACAAGAACUCAUCUCUGGGUUAGGGUAAACUGUUAAGACUUAAAACUUACUCAUUUACCUUUCACCAUGGGGCUUGUAACUGUCACUUGUGUCUUGAGCAGUUAAAAGAUAGAACGGUCUAGUCAAGCACCAUGUCUAAUGUUCUUGAUCAACUAUAGCUCAGGAGUUUUUGCAGAUUUUCAAAUAAAACUCAGAGAUUCCUUGUAUGACUCUCUCUAGUCUAUCUUUUGUGGUAUUUCUGGAUCCUUACCAAGGCAGUAAUGGUAUAUGCCUUCUCUCAAAGUAUGUGGUAUUUUUGGUAUAAGGCAUAGUGACAUUGCCUUCUCUCUCACCCUACUCUAAUAAGGCUUUUGAUAUCUGGAGCUCAUAGGUGGGAGACAGCUAAUACAUACUUACAAGACAUUUAUUGCAUAGUCAAACCAUGGAUCCAGAAGAACAAGUCAAUAAGUCAAAUCAAGAUGUGCAUGUGUGGCGAAUGAAUGGUGUAUGGUGAUGAUGGUGAUAACAAUGGUGGAAGUCUAAUUCUACUUAUGCUCUUUUGAGGGGAUACAUACCUUUCUUGCUCUUUUGAAACUUUUUGAGGAGAAUGAGAUGCUCUAUAUUUUCUUUUUCUUUUCUCUCAGGUGGGUAUCUUGUACCCCUAAUUCUACUGUCGGACACUUGUCUAUUUUUACCUCUCGUCUCACUUUUUUUUUCUCUUUUUUUUUUCUUUCGAGGUUCCGGGCACUUGCCCCUUUUUAUUUGCUCGUAUUUUUUUCUUUUUUUUAGAGCACUCAUCUCAUGAGAUAAUAUAGCAAGUGGUAGUAACAAGAUAACUUGAGCAUUUAUUUCACAGGGAAAAAACAGAAAUAUUUUUGGCUAUUCUCUCCCGGAUUAGGAGUAGAAUAUUUUUGGGUGGUUCUAGAGAUGGAAAUGGAUAUAUGUGGAUGGUACUUCCGGAGUAGAAGUAGCAUGUGUGAGUGAACGUGCAAGUGAAUCUUGAUUUAACCACAUGACAAGCUCCUAAGGGUCUACACAGCUUGACCACACUCAAUGCUCAUAAGCAGUAAAAUGUAAAUGUGUGGUUCAUAGUCUAACAAGCAUGUAUAUAUGGCUGUGGUAGGAAUUUAAACUCUCAUCAUACAGGAAAUCAUCAUGUAACAUUUUAAAGAUUUUCAAAGAUAAAAUUCUCUAGAAUUCUAGCAUCUCUAGGAACAGCUAAACAGCAGCUCAACCUUCCCAUAUCAUAUCCGUUAACGAUUUAGACUUCAGAUCAAGUACUCUCCCCACAAGUUCAGGUUUAGAGCAAAUCUUAAUUCAUAACAGUGAUGGCUAAACUUGAGAGAGAUUUCAAUUUUUUGAGAACUAGUCAUGGCAGAGCAACUAUCUAUCAUUUCCAUGUGAGAGCUUAUCAUGAGGGUUCAUAGCAAACUUUAUGCAUCAUUUUAUUAUUUGAGUAAAGUAUAAACGUGAGUAGAAACACUUAGCUGGAUAAAUGGGGGUGCUCUCCCCCAAGCUGGAUUUUGCCGUAAUUCCUUCUGAUGUAGCUAGCAGGUGGCGGAGGUGUAUUUGAAUGUCGGCAGCACUCUGACAGCGAUUAGGAUGUCCUCCGUUUGUUAGUCUUCUUUGAUCCUUGAAUUCUCUUGGCAAGGCGUUCGGUGUUUUUAAGUCCUCCGAACGAGACCCUCCGUUUCCUCACUCGUCCUGGGAUUCGAUGGAUGGCGUAGUCGGUGGUUUCGACGGUGCCUCCUCUUCGUGUAUAACUAUCUUCUCUCUACACACCUGACUCGGUGCUACGGUCUCCUCAGGAUAGUUCCGUUCAAGCUGUAUGUCUUCAGACCUUACAACUUCUGCUUCAUAGUCUAUCCAUCCGUCUUUGAUGAUUUUGCCUUCUCUGGUUGCGGUUGCGUCGUCUUCUUCUUGUCCUGACCUGCUUAGAGUCUUCAACUAUAUAGUUAGGGUCAGUAAAAUAGCAGCGUACCUUCUCAGAGGGAAAGUUUAUGUGGACUUCUCUGGUUCCAAUGUAGAUGAUUGCUUUAACGGUGCUGAGGAACGGUCUUCCAAGGAUGACGGGUGGAUUGUACUCAUCUUCUCCCUUGACAAUAACCUUACGGAAUGUCUAAUCUGCCAUCUGGAGCUGAAUGUAUGUCAGUUGUAGGGGCAUGGUUCCAUGCAGGAGCUGAUAAGUGACUGUGGCCAUUAUGUUGACGUCAGAUCCGGUGUCGUAGAGUGUCUUCUGAAAAAAAUAUCCGUUGAUUGUGCACUCGAUGCUUGGAACACCAGGGUCAUCCUUCUUGAUCAAGAAAGGCGACUUGAGUUGACGAUCUUGACCUCCUCGAGCUGCAGUGACCAUCUUAGCUGACUCAGUCCACACUUGCUUGUUCCUAUUCCUCCUGUUGGUCCCCUUCCUUGGUUCAUGUCGGGAAUGCUCUGAGAUUUGUGUAGUCUUGUUCUUGAAGGAAAACGUCUCCUUCUUCCCCUUGAUGUAGAAACUGAUCUUGGCAGCACUAGCGUAGAUGACAGCUCCCGAGGUGUUCAGGAAUGGCCUCCCUAGGAUGAUGGG